rnacentral:lncRNA from 1 species
GCCCUCGACUGUCUUUCUGAAUCAAUAAAAGUGACAAGUGGUGGGACUAUACUGAAGAGUUAAGACUAAUCCACAUGCUCCACCCGUGACCUGGGCCUUCAACUUCAUUUAGUGGGAACAACUGCCCGAGUGUCUCAGGAAAAGGGCCAUCCAAAGACGACUUGCCCCAGCUCAGAAACAAGGCAGGUCACCAGAAAGGAGCAGCUUUCAGAAAAUGGAAAAAUGGAUUGCAUUCAUGCCCUGGAAUACUACUUGGCGAUAGAAAGAAAUGAGCUUCUGAUGCAUACGACAGCCCAGAUCAAGCUCAGAGACAUCAUGUUGAGUGAAUGAAGCCAGGUAUGAGAGCACACGGCGUGCGAUUC